GUGGGGAAUAUUGGACAAUGGGCGAAAGCCUGAUCCAGCAAUGCCGCGUGCAGGAAGAAGGCCUUCGGGUUGUAAACUGCUUUUGUACGGAACGAAACGGUCCUGGUUAAUACCUGGGGCUAAUGACGGUACCGUAAGAAUAAGCACCGGCUAACUACGUGCCAGCAGCCGCGGUAAUACGUAGGGUGCGAGCGUUAAUCGGAAUUACUGGGCGUAAAGCGUGCGCAGGCGGUGCUGUAAGACAGGCGUGAAAUCCCCGGGCUCAACCUGGGAAUUGCGCUUGUGACUGCAUUGCUGGAUUGCGGCAGAGGGGGAUGGAAUUCCGCGUGUAGCAGUGAAAUGCGUAGAUAUGCGGAGGAACACCGAUGGCGAAGGCAAUCCCCUGGGCCUGCACUGACGCUCAUGCACGAAAGCGUGGGGAGCAAACAGGAUUAGAUACCCUGGUAGUCC
rnacentral:rRNA from 1 species